UUUAUUCUCUUAGCAUGAAUAUCUAUUGUUAUCUUAUUGCGAAUUUUGAAUGAUAUUUAAGAUGUAAACAUAAAUAUAGCUCAUGAAUAUCUAUUGUUAAUCUUAUUGCGAAUUUUGAAUGAUAUUUAAGAAAUAAGAUUGGGCAAAACAAAAUUUGUGAUCAUGUAAACACAAAUAUAGCUUAUUUCAGUCAUCACUUUCUCUUUUUAUAUUCUGAAAAUUUAACACCGUGAUACUCUUUGCUAUAUCUUUAAACUUACUAAUUCAUAUUACCAUUGUUGCUUUUACAUUUUCAUUUCCUUUCUUUUAGGCUAAAAAGGCAACACUUGAAGAGCUAGAAGAGAGGGGAAGAAGAGGUUCGAUAGAUGAUCCGAAGAAGCUCCCAAAGUAGAAUUAUGAUGGGUCUUGUGGGUUUGAGUCAUAUGGUUCUAACCAGGCUGAGUUUAGGUGACACGGACUGUUUUAUAAAGUGGUCGACUGGUUUUGGUUAGAACGAGUUCGGGUUUGAGUGGGUUCCGGCAAAACUGAAUACGGGGCAAAUCGAAGUAUUCAAAAAAGUGGUCAUUUUUGUUUGGGCAGAACGAUUUCAUAGCGUUGGGCAGGGUAACGUGUCGUAGAAGGUUCGGGUCUCAGUGUGUUCCGACCAAAUUGAGUACAGGUCAAAAGAUGUUGUUUUAAAUUGGGGUCGUUUGGUAGCUCUGUGCUUAUUAAAAUUUUUACAGUCACAAAUGAUAUAGUUGAUAAAGCAAUCAUUUUCUUUA